rnacentral:tRNA from 1 species
GAAAGAAUGACCGAGUUUGGUUAAAGGUGGCAGAUUGUAAAUCUGUUGGAAAUUUUUUUCAUCGUAGGUUCAAAUCCUACUUCUUUCA